GCUCAGGAUGAACGCUGGCGGCGUGCCUAACACAUGCAAGUCGAACGGACUUACAUUGAAGCCUAGCGAUAUGUAAGUUAGUGGCGGACGGGUGAGUAACGCGUGGGUAACCUGCCUUGUACUGGGGGACAACAGUUGGAAACGACUGCUAAUACCGCAUAAGCGCACAGCUUCGCAUGAAGCAGUGUGAAAAACUCCGGUGGUACAAGAUGGACCCGCGUCUGAUUAGCUGGUUGGUGAGGUAACGGCCCACCAAGGCGACGAUCAGUAGCCGGCCUGAGAGGGUGAACGGCCACAUUGGGACUGAGACACGGCCCAAACUCCUACGGGAGGCAGCAGUA
rnacentral:rRNA from 1 species